rnacentral:rRNA from 1 species
UACGUAGGGCGCGAGCGUUGUCCGGAAUCAUUGGGCGUAAAGAGCUCGUAGGCGGCCUGUCGCGUCUGCUGUGAAAUCCCGGGGCUUAACCCCGGGCGUGCAGUGGAUACGGGCUGGCUGGAGGCAGGCAGGGGAGAACGGAAUUCCCGGUGUAGCGGUGAAAUGCGCAGAUAUCGGGAGGAACACCGGUGGCGAAGGCGGUUCUCUGGGCCUGUACUGACGCUGAGGCGCGACAGCGUGGGGAGCAAACAGG